rnacentral:misc_RNA from 1 species
GUGAAUCAUCGAAUCUUUGAACGCACAUUGCGCCCUUUGGUAUUCCAAAGGGCAUGCCUGUUCGAGCGUCAUUUGUACCCUCAAGCUUUGCUUGGUGUUGGACUUUAGUUAUAGCUUUGCCUAUCAACUGGUCUCAAAGAUAGUGACGGCGCCCCAGAGGGAACCGGGUACGAGGAGCUUUUUACUAAGCAUGUAUCUGGGACGACUCUGGGCGACGGUCUUGUUAUACUUUUUACCUAAGUGUUGACCUCGGAUCAGGUAGGAAUACCCGCUGAACUUAAGCAUAUCAAUAAGCGGAGG